AUAGUCGGCGCGAACAACAAUGGAGAGGGAAAUCCGAAAGGAGAAAGGGUCGCUUCGUUUCAAAGCGAUGUGAACAGCAGUACGAGUCCUCCGAAAAUGAGAACUGAGAGACGAGGAAAGAUGGGGGGAAAUUUAAACAAAAUAAUCGCGAAAACAAUUAUUUUAGAACUGCAACUAACGAGCGAAAUGAGUCAGAGGAAAUUCCAGUAGAGGAAAUCGAGAUAGUUUACAGCAAAAAUGUGGUAAUUGUCACAUUAUCCAGAUAGCUGCAGCAUGAAGAGAAGAUCACUUGCACUGUUUUGUCCGAACAAAAUUUCCAAUUUCUUCCUCUGCAUCUGAAGUGACAGUCCUAAGGGUGAAAGGUGGUCAAUGUUCCACAGAGGCAAACCUGUUCAAUCCAGCAAAUUUCCUCUGCUUUAGAGUACUUCGUUGACCUCAUUGACAAGGAAAUUGAGCCAUCCUUACUGGGCAUAGCAUCAAGUCUUACUGGGCCUAGCAUCAAGUCUUACUGGGCAUAUUUAAAUGUGGUGAAUAAUAUCAAAAUUAUUUCCUCUGUAGUUUUUUUUGGUAGAGGUUGGAUUUUUGACGCAUUGAAAUAUG
rnacentral:sRNA from 1 species